rnacentral:rRNA from 2 species
UCGACCUCGAAUUAGGUAGGGAUACCCGCUGAACUUAAGCAUAUCAAUAAGCGGAGGA